GUGGGGAAUAUUGGACAAUGGGCGAAAGCCUGAUCCAGCCAUGCCGCGUGUGUGAAGAAGGUCUUCGGAUUGUAAAGCACUUUAAGUUGGGAGGAAGGGCAGUAAGUUAAUACCUUGCUGUUUUGACGUUACCGACAGAAUAAGCACCGGCUAACUUCGUGCCAGCAGCCGCGGUAAUACGAAGGGUGCAAGCGUUAAUCGGAAUUACUGGGCGUAAAGCGCGCGUAGGUGGUUUUGUAAGUUGGAGGUGAAAUCCCCGGGCUCAACCUGGGAACUGCCUCCAAAACUGCAUGACUAGAGUACGGUAGAGGGUAGUGGAAUUUCCUGUGUAGCGGUGAAAUGCGUAGAUAUAGGAAGGAACACCAGUGGCGAAGGCGACUACCUGGAUUGAUACUGACACUGAGGUGCGAAAGCGUGGGGAGCAAACAGGAUUAGAAACCCGAGUAGUAC
rnacentral:rRNA from 1 species